rnacentral:rRNA from 1 species
AUUGAACGCUGGCGGCAGGCCUAACACAUGCAAGUCGAGCGGAUGAAGGGAGCUUGCUCCUGGAUUCAGCGGCGGACGGGUGAGUAAUGCCUAGGAAUCUGCCCGGUAGUGGGGGAUAACGUCCGGAAACGGGCGCUAAUACCGCAUACGUCCAGAGGGAGAAAGUGGGGGAUCUUCGGACCUCACGCGAUCAGAUGAGCCUAGGUCGGAUUAGCUAGUUGGUGGGGUAAAGGCCUACCAAGGCGACGAUCCGUAACUGGUCUGAGAGGAUGAUCAGUCACACUGGAACUGAGACACGGUCCAGACUCCUACGGGAGGCAGCAGUGGGGAAUCUUGGACAAUGGGCGAAAGCCUGAUCCAGCCAUGCCGCGUGUGUGAAGAAGGUCUUCGGAUUGUAAAGCUCUUUAAGUUGGGAGGAAGGGCAGUAAGUUAAUACCUUGCUGUUUUGACGUUACCAACAGAAUAAGCACCGGCUAACUUCGUG